rnacentral:rRNA from 1 species
UACGGAGGGUGCAAGCGUUGUUCGGAUUCAUUGGGCGUAAAGCGAGUGUAGGCGGUUUGACAAGUCGGAUGUGAAAUCCCGGGGCCCAACCCCGGAACUGCACCCGAUACUGUCUGGCUAGAGUCCCGGAGAGGGUGGCGGAAUUCCCGGUGUAGGGGUGAAAUCCGUAGAUAUCGGGAGGAACACCAGUGGCGAAGGCGGCCACCUGGACGGUGACUGACGCUGAGACUCGACAGCGUGGGUAGCAAACAGG